AUUGAACGCUGGCGGCAGGCCUAACACAUGCAAGUCGAACGAGUGGCGGACGGGUGAGUAAUGUCUGGGAAACUGCCCGAUGGAGGGGGAUAACUACUGGAAACGGUAGCUAAUACCGCAUACCAUCGGAUGUGCCCAGAUGGGAUUAGCUAGUAGGUGGGGUAACGGCUCACCUAGGCGACGAUCCCUAGCUGGGCUGAGAGGAUGACCAGCCAACCUGGAAGUGAGCCAUGGUCCAGACUCCUACGGGAGGCAGCAGGGGGGAAUAUUGCACAAUGGGCGUAAGCCUGAUGCAGCCAUGCCGCGUGUAUGAAGAAGGCCUUGGGGUUGUAAAGUACUUGCAGCGAGGCGGCGUUACCCGCAGAAGACGCACCGGCUAACUCCGUGCCAGCAGCCGCGGUAAUUC
rnacentral:rRNA from 1 species